UAGGCUCUUAAAGAGUGUCCAGGGAGCACUCGUUAACAUUUCCCUUUUUUUAAUAGAAGAUGCUUAUAGCAUUUCAUUAAUAAUCAGAUAUUCAAUACAACGAGGUACAUAAGAAUAAGUGGUGGGACUAACUAAUAUUGUGGCAGCCCCAACGAACGCGUGAGCUACCUCAUUCGCUUGUCUCCGAUUAAACUUGACUUUAGAGUUUGUGAACUUCAAGUUGAAAAGACUUCUACAUGCAUAAAUAAUGAGACCAAAUUUAGAAAUAUCCGGGCGGGGAUUAUUGAAGGCAUCCACCGUAGAUUUUGAAUCCACUGGAAAAUCGACAUUAUCAAAUCUCAUACCACUUCAAAGCAUGAUAGAGACCCACAACUUUCCCUACAAUAACAUUAUGGAUAAUCGGCAAUGAAAUAACCUUAGCAAGCACAACCCCCCUUCAUCGCGGAUACACAUGCCCAAACCGGUGAUAUUCCAUUCAUUCAAAAAAGCGGCACCAAUGUUUCACUUGAAUCUACCUCGAGAAGGACGCUACCAUGAAGGAGGAAACACACUAAAAGGACGUUGCUGCUCCAAGUCACACACAACUGAUGUGGUGGGGGUGCGCACAUAAGUUGUUCAGUCCGAAGCUGCUACAAUUUGCUGUUACAUGGGGAAUGUUUGUCAUACCCAAUCCUCCACUAGAUGAAUAACCCGGUCCACAACCUGUGCAAUUGUUUCAGACACGCCUUGCCAGAGCUUUAAGUUUAUAUGUUUCCACAAGCUCCACAAUAGGGCAACAAAACGUUGGCUCUCAUUGUGUGAAAGAUCCUGCACCAAAGUAAAUAUAGAAUCGGCAGCACAAACAAAAUGAGUACAGACACAUUGCACUUUCUCCCAAAGCCGAGUCCUAAGCCUCAGCUGCAAAGCAAAAGAGCAAUCAAAGAAAACAUGAUGAAGAUUUUCAAAAGGUCCUUCAAAUAUAACCUUACCUUUAUUAU
rnacentral:lncRNA from 1 species